rnacentral:rRNA from 1 species
GACGAACGCUGGCGGCGUGCCUAACACAUGCAAGUCGAGCGAUGAAGCUCCUUCGGGAGUGGAUUAGCGGCGGACGGGUGAGUAACACGUGGGUAACCUGCCUCAUAGAGAGGGAUAGCCUUCCGAAAGGAAGAUUAAUACCUCAUAGGAUUGUAGUUUCGCAUGAAACGGCAAUAAAAGGAGCAAUCCGCUAUGAGAUGGACCCGCGUCGCAUUAGAUAGUUGGUAAGGUAAUGGCUUACCAAGGCGACGAUGCGUAGCCGACCUGAGAGGGUGAUCGGCCACAUUGGGACUGAGACACGGCCCAGACUGCUACGGGAGGCGGCAGUGGGGAAUAUUGCACAAUGGGGGAAACCCUGAUGCAGCAACGCCGCGUGCGUGAUGACGUUCUUCGGAUUGUAAAACUCUGUCUUUGGGGACGAUAAUGACGGUACCCAAGGAGGAAGCCACGGCUAACUACGUGCCAGCAGCCGCCGUAAAAC